rnacentral:rRNA from 1 species
CCUACGGUCAGCAGCAGUGGGGAAUAUUGGGCAAUGGGCGCAAGCCUGACCCAGCAACGCCGCGUUAAGGAAGAAGGCUUUCGGGUUGUAAACUUCUUUUUACAGGGAAGAGCGGAAGCCGGUACCUGUCGCAUCAUCCACUGCUACCUACUUGCCAGCAGCCGCGGUAAUACGUUGGUGGCAAGCUUUGUCCGGAUUUACUGGGUGUAAAGGGCGUGUAGCCGGGGUGACAAGUCAGAUGUGAAAUCCGGGGGCUCAACCCCCGAACUGCAUUUGAAACUGUUGGUCUGGAGUAUCGGAGAGGCAGGCGGAAUUCCUAGUGUAGCGGUGAAAUGCGUAGAUAUUAGGAGGAACACCAGUGGCGAAGGCGGCCUGCUGGACGACAACUGACGGUGAGGCGCGAAAGCGUGGGGAGCAAACAGGAUUAGAUACCCCAGUAGUC